UUGCAACUUUUUAGCUCACAAUUGUUUAUGUGCGUAAGGGAACCACCUCCGAUAAGGGAAGGAAACUGACAAAACAUAACGCAUUCACUUUAAUCUUGACGUAAUAUCACCGCUGUGAGGGUGUCGCUCAAAGCAUGAUGUUCAAAUAAAAGCCCUGGCUCGUCUCUGGCAUUCGCUCUAACCUCCACCUGAAGGUCUGUCGGACACGGAGAGCAAACAUCCAUCGCGAACGUGAAAGACCUGAACAUGGCUUACGAGACUCAAAUACUUCUACUGCUAGUGUCUGCAAUGAUCGCAAACUAUGGUCUUACCGACGGGGCCAAUUCCACCGCGGCAUCUCUUUCACCAGCGGAGAUCGUGGGGCUCCCUGGACUUCUGAUCUACACCAUCACCUCCACCGUGGUCCUCAAACUCUUUCGGCUCAUCUGAACGCCAGCCUCUGUCUUGCAUACUGUAGCCUGACUACUGUUUCGAAAGAUUGUCUGUAUGCUCUUGAAACCAUAUAAGCUAUGUGUGACCGGGAGGUCUUCGUAUAAAGAUUUAAAACAGAAA